GACGAACGCUGGCGGCGUGCUUAACACAUGCAAGUCGAACGGAAAGGCCCUGCUUUUGUGGGGUGCUCGAGUGGCGAACGGGUGAGUAACACGUGAGUAACCUGCCCUUGACUUUGGGAUAACUUCAGGAAACUGGGGCUAAUACCGGAUAGGAGCUCCUGCUGCAUGGUGGGGGUUGGAAAGUUUCGGCGGUUGGGGAUGGACUCGCGGCUUAUCAGCUUGUUGGUGGGGUAGUGGCUUACCAAGGCUUUGACGGGUAGCCGGCCUGAGAGGGUGACCGGGCACAAUGGGACUGAGAUACGGCCCAGACUCCUAGGGGAGGCAGCAGGGGGGAAUAUUGCACAAUGGGCGGAAGCCUGAUGCAGCAACGCCGCGUGCGGGAUGAAGGCCUUCGGGGUGUAAACCGCUUUCGCCUGUGACGAAGCGGGAGUGACGGUAAUGGGUAAAGAAGCACCGGCUAACUACGUG
rnacentral:rRNA from 1 species